CCCUACGGGGGGCAGCAGUGAGGAAUAUUGGUCAAUGGGCGGAAGCCUGAACCAGCCAAGUCGCGGGAGGGAAUAAGGCCCUACGGGUCGUAAACCUCUUUUGCCGGGGAGCAAGGGCGGGGACGUGUCCCGGCCCGGAGAGUACCCGGAGAAAAAGCAUCGGCUAACUCCGUGCCAGCAGCCGCGGUAAUACGGAGGAUGCGAGCGUUAUCCGGAUUUAUUGGGUUUAACGGGGGCGUAGGCGGGCUUUUACGUCGGCGGUAAAAGUUCGGGGCUCAGCCACGUC
rnacentral:rRNA from 1 species